AACAAUUAACAAUAGACAAAACCGUUACUUACCGAACACACGCAACCAACAAUGAACAACCAAAUCAAUUGGAAAAUAAAAAAAGAAAUGGAAGGGGGAAAAAUAAUGGAAAUUUCGACAACAACUAGGGGAAAGAAUCGGCAGAGGAGGGAAAAAAUAAGAAGAAAACGUCAGAAAAAGUUUGGGUAAUUGGAUAGAAAACCGAAACACUAAUUUUUUUCUAUAAAAAAAGAUAAUCAGAUUAUUU
rnacentral:lncRNA from 1 species